AUGACUGAUUUCCUCUGGUGCUUAGAGUCCAGCCUGUCUUCUAGCACCAUUUGAAAUCGGUUAU
rfam:Astyanax mexicanus chromosome 7, whole genome shotgun sequence.